AAAAAAAUGAUUUCAGUGCAUUAGAGACAACACGACGCAAAGCUUGUUUUACGUGAAUUAUCUCCAACGCAUUGGUCGAACACACGUCACAGAAGAAAAAAACGUGAAUGAGGAAACCGGAGAACGUUGCAACAAGAACUCGAGUUGGAGGGGCUGUACUCCGAUGCAUACAUCCAAGACACACAGCUUCUUGCCGUGCAAGUGAAUAUGCAAACAAUAUAUCGGCAUCGACACACCUGUCUCAAGUCAUUAUUUAUUCAAAUACGUUUUUAAUGAACCGUAUUUAUUAUACAAUGUCAUUUCAUUUCAAUGUAUCGAUGCAAUAUUAUAUCGAUAUACGAGCAAAACUUUUUACAUUGUUUCUGGAGGGAAACGUUACUGAAAACUUUAAGUAAUAUUCGAUUCACUCACUCAUAUUACUCGUUGUAAUCAGGAACAGAUGGUCGAUCCAUUUGGGUGCACUCUUAAUUACUUGUCAAUAACAUUUGCACAAUUUUUAACCCAACCAGACCGCCAAUUUUUUUUUUUUUAACAAAAUACCGCCUUCCACACCACUGUGCACACCGACAUGCACCAACGUGCACUGCCAUACUGCGCAUGCGCGUCCACGGCAAGUGUAGAGAUGCGGUUCAUGGCGGAUUCUUAGUAAGAUAUCUAUUCUUGCUAUUAAAAUAAAAGCGAGAUGAACUGAUGCGUACGAAACUAAGAUAGGAAUUAGAAGAGAUAUUCUUGUAUUCACAAUAAGAGCAUACAAACCGUGAUAAAUUAUUAGGCGAAGUAGUGCGGUAUACACAUGAGAGUAUGCUUAUUUUUGAAAUUUAUUCCAAUCGAGAAUUCUUGAACCGUUCGAGAUGAUACAUUUAAACUAUUUGAACAGAUAAAGAUAAAUAUAAACAAAAUGAGAAAAUGUAACGUUAAUAGACAUUAAUCUAUUAUAGAAUAGAAAAUAUAUAACUAAUUCUUAUGUUCUUUAAUUUAAAAAUUGUAAUAGACUUAAUGAGAGAAUCUAAUUCUUUAUUUCAAAUAACAUUUAAUAAAUCGCAUGCAAAACAAAUAGAAACGUUAAUAUAAACUUUGCCUACAUCAGUUGUUGAUUGCCAAGUAUUGAUAACAUCUAUAAAACCACAAAUUUCCGCGUUCUUAUAUUUCCACAAGUCUUUCCCGAUAUCCAGUAGUCAUGCAA